rnacentral:rRNA from 1 species
GAGGGGGGUGCAAGCGUUAUUCGGAAUCAUUGGGCGUAAAGGGUGUGUAGGCGGCAACCUAAGUCAACUGUUAAGACCCCGGCCUAACUGGGGACAGGCGGUAGAUACUGGGUUGCUAGAGGAAGGAAGAGAGAAGUGGAAUUCUCGGAGUAGCGGUAAAAUGCGUGGAUCUCGAGAGGAACACCAAUGGCGAAGGCAGCUUCUUGGUCCUUUCCUGACGCUGAGACACGAAAGCGUGGGGAGCAAACAGGAUUAGAUACCCUGGUAGUCCACGCCGUAAACGAUGAUCACUAGACGUUAGUCCUGUUUUUACAGGGUUAGUGUCGUAGCUAACGCGCUAAGUGGUCCGCCUGGGGACUACGGUCGCAAGAUUA